AAUAGAUACCUGGUAGUCCACCCGUAAACGUUGGAACUAGUUGUGGGGUCCUUUCCACGGAUUCCGUGACGCAGCUAACGCAUUAAGUUCCCCGCCUGGGGAGUACGGGCCGCAAGGCUAAAACUCAAAGGAAUUGACGGGGACCCGCACAAGCGGCGGAGCAUGCGGAUUAAUUCGAUGCAACGCGAAGAACCUUACCAAGGCUUGACAUACACCAGAACACCCUAGAAAUAGGGGACUCUUUGACACUGGUGAACAGGUGGUGCAUGGUUGUCGUCAGCUCGUGUCGUGAGAUGUUGGGUUAAGUCCCGCAACGAGCGCAACCCUCGUUCUAUGUUGCCAGCACGUAAUGGUGGGAACUCAUGGGAUACUGCCGGGGUCAACUCGGAGGAAGGUGGGGAUGACGUCAAAUCAUCAUGCCCCUUAUGUCUUGGGCUUCACGCAUGCUACAAUGGCCGGUACAAAGGGCUGCAAUACCGUGAGGUGGAGCGAAUCCCGAAAAAGCCGGUCCCAGUUCGGAUUGAGGUCUGCAACUCGACCUCA
rnacentral:rRNA from 1 species